UUCUUCCUUCCGGUGGGUUCGUGGUCUCGCUGGCUCAGGAGUGAAGCUACAGACAUUUGCAGUGAGUGUUACAACUCUUGAGGUGGCGAGUCUGGAGUUGUUCGUUCCUCCCUGUGGGCUCGUGGUCUCGCUGGCUUCAGGAGCGAAGCUGCAGACCUUCGCGGAGUAGAUGUACCCACCAAAAGCCUUGCUUGCAGCCACCUCCACGUCUCUCAACCUGCCUGAGUACAGGGCUUAUGUUACAAGGAAUUCUCAAAGCUGUGUUAUCAAAGCUGUGAAAUCAAAGUCUCUGCCCCUCUGAAGUUUACCCGGAUGGCCUGACUCAUCUCAGACUCCGAGAACGAUGGCUCCUGAGAGUGACAAUAUCUGAGGAAAGAGCAGGUCCUGCAACCAACGAGAAAGUGUCCUGCAGCAUUUCAAAGCAGUUUACAUGAGCACAAUUCGGAUGGAUGUGUUUUCAACCACACACCUGGCAAGUCACCACACAGCGCUGUGCAACUGAUAUCAUUUGAGAAGAAGAGGAUAACUGAGUUCCUGUUGGAAGAACAGCAAUUUGAAAGUACUGCUUAAAUGAACACAAGAUGGUGUCAGGAUUCCAAGUUUCUAGUUCUUUCUAGGGAGUUACCUAAGGUCUAAGUUUUAUCCUGAACAGAAUCUCUUGGGGAACUAAAAUACUACCAAUGAAAAGCUCUCAAUACUCCUACAUCAUGAAUAUUAUUGAGCUCUAAAACUUGAACUGGUCAUGUCAGGAGAACCUUGAACUGCUCGUGGCAGUUCCUGUGGACUGAGAGGAAGUACUACUGGAGAUCUUGGUGACAGUGGCCAAAAGGAAAGGGUAUGAUUAUGAUUGCUGGGAAGCAGAUGGCUUUUGAAUAUGUUCAUCCAAAUCCUAAGCCAGAGAUUGUGUUUAGUGCUUGUUCCUCCUGGGAAGGCUUAUGGUAAACAAAAAUACAGUUUAACAUGUUUAAUGUUUUGAAAUUCUGGAAGAAGAAUAGAAAUAUUCAUUUUGCUCCUGGGUGUCCACAUGAGCACGGAGGUAUUCUAAAGUGUAAGAAGUGACAGCAUAGCAUGGUUAAAAUCUCAGAUUCUGACCUCAGCCUGGCUCCUCCCCUUACUAUCUUGAGCAUUAGCUCAAUAAACCUCAAGGCUUUAUCUAUAAAAUUGUGGUGACAAUUACAUUUAGUUAAAAGAUUAUAAGGUUUCAGCCGGACGCGGUGGCUCAUGCCUGUAAUCCCAGCACUUUGGGAGGCGGUGGCGGGCAGAUCACGAGGUCAGGAGA